rnacentral:rRNA from 1 species
UACGGAGGUGGCAAGCGUUGUUCGGAAUUACUGGGCGUAAAGGGCGCGUAGGCGGCCAUCUAAGUCAGACGUGAAAUCCCCCGGCUUAACCUGGGAACUGCGUCUGAUACUGGAAGGCUUGAGUAUGGGAGAGGGAUGUAGAAUUCCAGGUGUAGCGGUGAAAUGCGUAGAUAUCUGGAGGAAUACCGGUGGCGAAGGCGGCAUCCUGGACCAGUACUGACGCUGAGGCGCGAAAGCUAGGGGAGCAAACGGG